AAAGGGGGUUGUUUUCUCAUGUGCAACAGCCAGCUGAGGUUGCAACAGAGACGUAGAAGGCGAAUGCUCGGGUGGAUGUUUAUGUGGUCAGCUCUCCUGCGCCCUUUUCUGGUCUCAAAGUCACUCAUAGAAAUCAUGUACAGGAGACCGCAAUGGCCUCCAGGAGCACCACAGCUAAGAUGGAACAGCCGGCACCAAACUCUUCCAGGAGUUUCACAAUGUACGACCCGCCCUAGAAUGGAAGAUCUGUGCUUAGUAACUUCUCGGCUGCUGGGGGACUGGUCUGUCCCGCUCAUCUUCCACGCAGACUGGCAGAUUCAAAGAUGCAGCUGCUGUUCCUGCCAUUCUUCACAGACAUGCCAUGGACCACCUGAAUGAAGCUCAUGGGCCAUUGGACCACAGUUUGGGAGCCCCCCUUCUAGGGAGUACCUGAUCUCAGAUGAGCCCACCACAGGGAAAAAGGACGGGCAAACGACGCCAAUUCCAAGGACUAUAAGAAAACAAGGCAGAAACCAUAAAAGUACACUAAAGGAGGAGGAGAAA